GUUGCUCACACGCGUCUGUGAGACGCUUCCCGUUCCGUCGGUCUGUGGGAAAUCUUCCACCCGAUCAUUUUUUCGGUUUGUCUCCGCUACACACGUCUCUCAUUGUUUGUCGCAGCAUUUUGUCCCCACAUCGGGCUGGGAGCCGCCGGCUGGAACGCAAUUCUAUCAUGCGCUGGGAUCGGCUGAACUGCGCGCCCUCUGGAAGCAGAAGCUGAUCUGGCAGAGGAAUCCACGCAGCACGCGGCUGAUUCCGCGUCUGUUUGCAAACCCCGCUUAUAUAACGCGGCCUGGAUUUUCACUGUUUGUAUAUUGUGAAAGUCAAAUGAACAUAUCAACAUUUCAGAAACCUUUAACCAUGACACACUGUUAGAAAUGUAUCUGCGUGCGUACACAUACAUGUAUUAACGUAUGGAUAGAUAUUACUGCUGUACUGUAGUGAUGGCAGACUUUCUUUGCCAAUUACUGACCUGUGCUGCAGGGGGGCAGCAGAACCCCCUUAUUACAAAGACUAAAUGAAACUUCGUGAAACAUUGUAGAUAGCUCCCACAGCAUGCUAGAGUCAGCCAACCUUCUCUAACUCCUGAACUCCGAGGGGUACCAUGAGAAUGAAUGUUUCCAAUGACAACUCUUUUAUAAGAUGUGUGUAGCAGGUCAUAGAAAAAUUACCAAGAAGGCCAGUUCAGUAAAAUCCUAAAAUGCCUGAUUCAUUCUCUGUUUAAAUGAGGAGAAUCGACCCUCACAGCCUGACGGCAGCUCACCCCUAAGGCUCACGCCAGUUAGCUGCACUCUGUCCUGCAGCUUUCUGCAGGGUGUGAAGGUGGUCUCUGUGUGUCUGUGUAAGGCCAGAGACACAUCCAACCACAGCAGCAGUGUGAUCAACUAAAUAAACUAAACGAAGCAAUACAGCAUUACAGGAAGUCAAGAAACUAAAGAUUACUCCUGCUUGAAAGAUACAUACACAGGUCUCAGAGAAAAGCACAGAAAAGGAUCAAUAUUUUAUUGAUUUAAAUGCAGCACUGUAUUUCCAUUCACUUAAUCACCUAUAACUAAAACAUCAGCUGGCUCCAAAUAUAUUUAUUUUUACAACCUACCCCACACACCUCACACAGUGCAUGGACUAGCUAGCACAGGUGGGGCCAGGUUAGGUGGCCAGGUUUGGUGUAACAAAUGUGCUGGAAUUCAGGAAUGCAUCAGCUACAGAUAAAUCUAAUGUGCUGCUAAUGUGGUUAGAAAGCUUUGUGUCAGUACGGAGGAGAAGUGUAAUGCAAGCCCAGCCGACACUGCAGGGACAGGAGGGUCUGUAAACAUGUCUGUUCUUGCCGCUGAAAUGAACAGACCACUUCCAGUGGAAGCUGCAAAUUUGGACAUUCACAUUUACUGUAUGUGCUGAUGCCUGAUUGGUUGAUAAUACUAGGCAUAGCCCAGCCACCUCCAGCCCUCAGAAAGUGAGGAAAGUGACAUGGCUAUCUCUCAGCAAGCUCCGCCCACUCCACUCACUCACCCAACAAAUGGUGAGAAUCUGCUGCUAUGGGUUAGUCACACACAUCCUACCUGCUAGCUUGCCAGCUAAGCUGCACAGAGCAAAAGUCAAACCAAUUUCAUGAGUGAACAUUUAACUGAACAUUGGUAAAAUUAUAAUAGUCAGUGUGAUCAUCCAAAAAGAGAAUUCAAUAAAUUCUUCCUGCAGGGUGUCCUGUCUCUCUCAGCACCAGCCCAGCUGUCAUUUCAGGAAAACUUCA